rnacentral:lncRNA from 1 species
GCCUUUGCCACCAAGUUGGUCAUCGCUCUUCAGUUAUUUGAUCAAAUGCCGGUUUGAGUCUUCUUUCACGUUUUUUCUCAAAUACCAGCAAAAUGAUUUACAUCUUUUUAAUUUUCUCUCUUCGGUUCAUUUUUUAUAGGUAUUUAUAUCUGUUUGGAUGAAAGGGCAAGAUAGUUUUAUUAUCUUUUUUUUCUAAUACAAUUUCUUUCCUUUGUUGAGAAUCUAUUGUUUUUACUAAUUAUAUUUGUUUUGACAUUUUGGAUGUUAUAAUGAUACAACGCUACUUUGACUAUCUAGUUUGGCAAGUUCUCAUUCUAUUUCAAUGUCUAUUAACAGCUUGGUGUAAUUUACUAUUUUUUUGUUGUCCUAGAUUAUAGUACAUUUUACUAUUUGGAUAUUUCCAUUUCACCAUUUUUGUUGGAUUUAUUAAAAAGUUCAUUUUGCUAAUUUUAAUGUUUGUUUUUGCCCUACAUCUGUUUGAUGAAAUGCCAAAUUCACCUUCUUUUUUAAUAUCUCACAAAUCUUUAUAAUAUGCUAACUUUGUACAAGUUUUUUUAAUUUUAUUUUUUUUAAAAUUUUUUCCAAGUUAUUCAUCGCAAAAUAGCCGAUUUUGUGCCAAACGCUAGCCAUUAUUGCAAAUUUACAAAAGUAUGUUUUACGUGAUGAUGUAAAAAUACAUUCUUUUCUACUUGGCAUGACGAGUAUAGAAUUUACGUAAGAAAAUCCAACCUUUACUUCUAUUUGAGUGAUUCUAUUUUCUUUUUUUCUUCAUGCUAAACCCCAUAGGUAGAAGCUUCUAAUUGCAAUUUUUUUUUUACUUUCUAUUGCUAUAGUUAGACUGUAUGAUGUUAUACUUGAAAAUUAAUAUUAACUAGUGCAGUGACUCGCGCGAUGCAGCGAAAAAAAAUAUUUUAAUAAAAAUUUAUAAAUUAAAUAAAUAAAUAUAAAUGUAAAGAAGAAACAAAAAAAUAUAACCUAUUUAAUUAGACUUAAUAAUAUGAAAAACAUAUUAAAAAAUAUUUAAAAUGAAAUCACAACUCAACGAAAAAUAAUAAACGAAACUGAAAAGAAAGAAAGUAUAUAAGAAUUAUAUGAGAAGAAAAAUGGUAUAGAUAUUAUAAAAAAAAUAUUUGAAAUAUUGCAAGUGAAACAUAACNCAUUCUCGUCGGGUCUAAACCAAAUCACAGAUAGACAGAGAAGGACCAGAAUUACCAACGGACUUAGCUCUCACACUUCUGGCCGGUAUUCGGCUCUGAUACCAAAUGUAACGGCGUGACCCGCUAGCAAUAAUAACUCGUUGGGCCCAAACCAUCGGCCCAAAAUGUUUAAGCCCAGUUAUUAUUACUAGCGUGUAGGCCUCAUAUAAACCGAUCGAAAUCAGUAUCUCACCCGAUGUGGGAUUAUUGGAUCGGGUGAGAUAUUGGGGGCGUUACAAACUCCUCAUGUUUAGACCAUGACGUCCUCGUCGGGUCCAAAUAAGAUCACAGAUAGACAGACCAGAACUAGAAUUACCAGGCGAUGUGAGAUUCUAGAGGACCAGAACCAGAAUUACCAGGCGAUGUGAGAUUCUAGAGGUGGCUCCCACCAAAUCGGGAGGUAAGAAUUACUAGGCGAUAUGAGAUUCUAGAGGACCAGAACCAGAAUUACCAGAUGUGAGAUUCUAGAGGUGGCUCCCACCAAAUCGGUUGGUGUAGCACUUUGUCCCGCAUAGCACUUAGCUCUCACACUUCCGGCUGGUAUUCGUCUCUGAUACCAAUUGCAACGACCCGACCCGCUAGCAACAAUAACUCAUUGGGCCCAAACCACCGACCCAAAAUGCUUAAGCCCGGUUGUAGUAUCCAUAUUUCUUUAUCUUUUCUCUUCUUUUUUCUUUUUAUUUCUUUUGAGUUGGUAAGCUAGCUGGGGAUAAGGAUGCCACGUGCACCUUACCCCCAAGCAUGCUUAUCAUCUUGAUACAUGUGCAUUGUAUAUAUAUAGAUCUUGAGCCGUACGUAGAGGAGGAGCUCGGGUGGUGUGGAGUUUCGUCGACGUCGCGCCGCGGUGCCGUUCGAGCGUGUGUUCGUCGUCGUAGCAUCGCGAGGGGGGCCGGGCGAGGGUCCGAUUCCGCCGUUUUUGUUGUCGCGCCGGAUUGUGAUUAGCGUUUGAGGUGGGUUACAUCGGCUUUACUCCUAAGUUCGUAUUGGUCGACAUGUAUAGAUUUUGAUUUCGGUAAUUAAUGUUAGCUCAAAUUCAUGGAUUAAUUGUAGAUUGUGAAAUCUGAAUUUUGGAGCAUGUUUUAUAAAUUAGGUAGAUUAUACAUGUUGGACUUGAAAAUUGAAUUAGGAGAAAACCUGCGAUUUUGGCCUGUCACCUGUAUAAACUGCUUGAUUUAGCUCUAGGAGCCGUUAGAAAAUUGUACUGUCGCAGUUUCUUCGAGACGAGUACUCCAGGUAGUUUAGAAUGUAUUUACACUCGUGCUGGUUCGCCGAGUGGAUUUUUACAGGGUCGUUCAGGUUGUUCGGACUGUUGGGUGCCGUCAGAGUUGACGGUGGACCCGUAUCGCCUUGUUGGCGUCAGACUGUGCCGAGGGCACGUUACCUGUUAGUUGUUAGAUCAGUUUGAGUUGAUUACUUGACUUUGGCUAGUUGGAGCCUGAUUGAGCUCGACAGAGAUACGCUGCAUACUCGGUUGGGUAGCGCCCACGAGUGCCACUCCGGAGUCAGGCUUUGUGCUUUCGCGUUGGUGUCGCUCAUGCCAGUUGGACUUGCUCUCCAUGGACCAGUUAGUGUGGAUAGAGCCUGAUAGUCGCAACGGGGCAGGGACGGGUGUAUUCACAGUUCCGGGGACGGGUAUGCUUACAGUCCCGAUUGGAUUGGGUCAGAGUUGACAUUUCCUACAGUUGGUUAGUGUAGAGCAUGAUAGUGUAGUGAUCGAUAGCGGUAGAGUUUAUUUUCUGCUUUUCUGACUACUCUUGCUCCCUUCUGUAGACUUAGUGGGUGGACCGAUGUUGUUUUGGGCGGUAUCCACUGAGGACUACUUGUUUUUAUAGUAGUUCUCACGCCCAGUUGUUACCCCUGUUUUGCAGAGCCACAGGUUUCGGCUGCUGCGCCUUUCGCGGAUCAGGAUCGAGGCAAGGGCGUCGCGAGUUAGAGCCCUACCCGACUGACAGAGCUAGAGGCACCCUACUGCAGGUAGUUGUUUUACUUCGAGCUUAUGUACAUAGUACUUAACUCGCCAGUGCGAGUAACGCUGUAUUUUGGAUUUGGACUAUGUAUAUGAACUCAGUUUGUUUAGCUUCUGUUUUCUCUAGCAGCUCUCUACUACUGUUCGUAGUAGUGUUUGAUUUACAGGUACAGCUGUCGCUUCGUAUACAGGAAAAAUUUCUUUGUAUACGGCGGAUUUGUCGGCGUGCCCGGGGAAGGAGACAUCCGGGGCGUGACACCGGUUAUUAUUACUAGCGUGUACGCCUCAUAUAAACUGAUCGGAAUCAGUAUCCCAUCCGAUGUAGGAUUAUUGGGGCGUUACAAGUUCCUUCAGCUCUACUGCUUAUUCGGUAGAAAGUGAAUGGCAUAAAAACUAAUUUAUACAUAAAUAAUAAAUAACUUAAUAAAUAAUAAAUUAUAAUAUAAUAAAUAAAUAAUAUAAUAUAAUUAUAUUUCUAUAUAAUUAAAAAAAUGUAAUAUGAAAAUUU